AACGCAAAUUGCGCUCCCUGGCAUCCCGGGGAGCAUGCCUGUUUGAGGGUCAGUAUUAAUAAAAAAUCGGUUUGGUUGCAAAUUUUGUGACGUUCCCGGAGUUUGGGCUAUCUUAACUUUUUGGUUAAGAGGCUUAAAAUUGACCAUUUUUGCGCAUUUUAGACGUACAUAAAUUUUUUUUUAUUCGUCUAUUCUAAAUGCCAAAAUCUUAUUAGAUGCGAUCACAUCGUUGGUUUCGUGUCCAUAAAAUUUUCAUGAUUUGACCUCAAAUCAGGUAGGAGUACCCGCUGAACUUAA
rnacentral:misc_RNA from 1 species